UACGUAGGGCGCAAGCGUUGUCCGGAAUUAUUGGGCGUAAAGAGCUCGUAGGCGGUUUGUCGCGUCUGCUGUGAAAGCCCGGGGCUCAACCCCGGGUCUGCAGUGGGUACGGGCAGACUAGAGUGCAGUAGGGGAGACUGGAAUUCCUGGUGUAGCGGUGAAAUGCACAGAUAUCAGGAGGAACACCGAUGGCGAAGGCAGGUCUCUGGGACGUUACUGACGCUGAGACGCGAAAGCGUGGGGAGCAAACAGG
rnacentral:rRNA from 1 species